rnacentral:rRNA from 1 species
GACGAACGCUGGCGGCGUGCCUAAUACAUGCAAGUCGAGCGGGCCUCCGGAGGUGCUUGCACCUCCGGAAGGCCAGCGGCGGACGGGUGAGUAACACGUGGGCAACCUGCCUUUGAGGCCGGGAUAACACCGGGAAACCGGUGCUAAUACCGGAUACGUCCUCUUUCGCGCCUGCGAGAGGGGAGAAAGACGGUCUUUAAGGCCGUCGCUCAAAGAGGGGCCCGCGGCGCAUUAGCGUGUUGGUGGGGUAAGGGCCUACCAAGGCGACGAUGCGGUGCUGAACUGAGAGGGUGCUCGGCCACACUGGGACUGAGACACGGCCCGGACUCCUGAGGGAGGCAGCAAUAGGGAAUCCUCCGCAAUGGGCGAAAGCCUGACGGUGCAACGCCGCGUGAGUGAGGAAGGUUUUCGGAUCGUAAAGCUCUGUUGUGAGGGAAGAACAGCUUCCGGAGGAAAUGCCGGAGGGUUGCCGGUACCUCACCAGAAAGCCCCGGCUAACUACGUGCCAGCAGCCGCGGUAA